CCAAGAUGGCCGAAUAGGAACAGCUCUGGUCUACAGCUCCCAGCGUGAGCGACGCAGAAGACAGGGGUUAGGAAACUGUUGCCUAUGGGCUGAAUUUGGCUUGCUGUCUGCUUUUAGAGACCAGGAUGAAUCUGAAGGCUAUGGUGGUUAUUUUCUAAUCCAAAAACCAGAAGCAGUACUAUUCAAUGAGGGCUCUGGUAACAAGGCCUGUGAUGUCAUCAGCAACCAAUCAGAGCUUCUGAACUGCACGUCUCACAUUCAGUGUUAACAUACUGAGUUGAUGUAAUUCCAACAACAAAAAAUAAAAAAUAAAAAGAUAUGUGCUGUUUUA
rnacentral:antisense_RNA from 1 species